AAGAGAUGAGAUUCUUGCUUCUUAUUGAUUCGAGUGGCCCUUGGUGAGUGACGCGUAAGCAACCUGCCCUCUAGAUGGGGACAACAGCUGGAAACGGCUGCUAAUACGGAAUACGUUCUUUCUGUCGCAUGGCAGAAGGAAGAAAGGGAGGCUCUUCGGAGCUUUCGCUGGAGGAAGGGCUUGCCUCUGAUUAGCUAGUUGGAGGGGUAACGGCCCACCAAGGCGACGAUCACUAGCCGGUCUGAGAGGAUGAACGGCCACAUUGGGACUGAGACACGGCCCAGACUCCUACGGGAGGCAGCAGUGGGGAAUCUUCCGCAAUGGACGAAAGUCUGACGGAGCAACGCCACGUGAACGAUGACGGCCUUCGGGUUGUAAAGUUCUGUUAUACGGGACGAAUGGUGCGACGGUCAAUACCCGUCUUAAGGACGGUACCGUAAGAGAAACCACGGCUAACUACGUGCCAGCAGCCGCGGUAAUACGUAGGUGGCAGCGUUGUCCGGAAUUAUUGGGCGUAAAGGGCGCGCAGGCGGCGUCGUAAGUCUGUCUUAAAGUGCGGGGCUUAACCCCGUGAGGGGACCGAAACUGCGAUGCUAGAGUAUCAGAGAGGAAAGCGGAAUUCCUAGUGUAGCGGUGAAAUGCGUAGAUAUUAGGAGGAACACCAGUGGCGAAAGCGGCUUUCUGGACGACAACUGACGCUGAGGCACGAAAGCCAGGGGAGCAAACGGGAUUAGAUACCCCGGUAGUCCUGGCCCGUAACGAUGGAUACUAGGUGUAGGAGGUAUCGACCCCUUCUGUGCCGGAGUUAACGCAAUCAGUAUCGCGCCUGCGGAGUACGGCCGCAAUGCUGAGACAUCAAGGAAUUGACGGAGGCCCGCACAAGCGGUGGAAUAUGUGGUUUAAUUCGACGCAACGCGAAGAACCUUACCACGCCUCGACAUUUGAUGCUAAGGGUAGAGAUACCUGCUCCUCUUCCGAGAACAGAAACCAGGUGUGC
rnacentral:rRNA from 1 species